AAGCAACUGCAUGAAGCCUUCAAAUGAAGGAAUAUAUUUCGUUGAACAUCAAUCAGAUCUUUUAAUAGCGGACUGACUUGAAACCACUGUAAACAGCUAAUAGUUCAGCAGAGAAAAAAAAAUGAAGGCCAUCGCACAGCUGUUCCUUCUUCUGGUUAUCUCCACCCUUGUCACUGGAAAAAACCUUCCAUGGACAGCUAAUGAUUCUGGGCGUCCUGUGGAUGAUGAUUUUGAUCAAGAUGAAUUCGAAAACGAUCCUGCUAGUAGAGCCGGGGGGGAGUGGGAUACUCCAAAUGACGCGGAGAACGAUUCUGGCAGCACCUAAAGAGGAAAAGCAACAAGCCCAGGAUUUCGAGGAUUUGUAGUAUUCGAAGAUUUUUUGCAUCUGCAGGAAAUACUUAUAGAGAACACACUGAAGGGAGAAUUUGUUAAUAUGGUCCUAAACUAUACGAUUCAGAAUAAAUGGGAAAAAAUUCAACUC